rnacentral:lncRNA from 1 species
UUUUUUUUUUUUUUUUUGAAGUUUCUUGAAUAAGUAAACACUUCAUGUCAGGAGAGAGAGACCAACACUAAAACUUUGAAAAGGAAAUUUUAAUAUAAAUAGUUGCUAAAUAGUAAGAGGUGGUUAACUACUAAAAGGGAUAAAACAAGGACUGUUAAAGGGAUCCAGAAGUCGCAGGUGAAAAAACCUACCAGCUACAGUGAAGGAACUGGGAGUUUAGGAGAGCCUUGAGACCUCUCCAAAGGGGACUUGGUUACCACAGAACGUGGAGCCUGGUGAAGAAACAUGCCGGAGGGCGUGGGCUGGAGAGGUCCUUCGCUGUUGGCCAGAAAGCACGAGCAGGUUGGAACUGGUCAAUGGCAAUGAUCCACCUGUGAGGGAAGUGUCUUCCCACCACCAUCUCCUCCCAUUGUUCCCCAGUGCCCUCUGACCAAGCCCAACAGGGAGCCAACAGGCAAAAGAGAUGUUUGGCAAAACCAAGUAAAGAAGGGUGGAUUGGGAACGGAGACUCCUAUCCUGGGGCCUUGCCACCUGAAUCCCUUUUGCCUGCUUUGUCUUCAAGUCUCUACUUAAAUGUCACUUCCUCUAAAAGGCAUUCCUUUACCCCCAAUCUAAAUCAUAAAUCAGUAGCUUCUCAAACCAUCUUACAAAGCUUUUCCUUUAUAGCAUCCGUGAUAAUUUUUAAUUAAAUACAGUUGACCCUUGAACAAUAACAGGUUAGGAACACCAACCCCGCUGCACAGUCGAAACUAUGUAUAAUCUGACUUUCCCAAAGCAACUAUUAAUAAGCCUACUGUUGAUUGGAAGACUUGCCAAUAAUAUAGUUGAUCAACACAUAAUUUUUAAGUAAUAAAUAUAUAUUGUAUUUUUAAAGUAGGCCCCACACCCACCAUGGAGCCCAAUGUGGGGCUUGAACUCCUAACCCUGAGAUAAAAGAUCUGAGCUGAAAGGAGUCAGGCACUUAACCUACUGAGCCAUCCAGGUGCCGCUACAUUCUAUUCUUACAACAAAGAAAGCUAGAGACCAUGAGAGACUCCUGACCCUGGGAAACGGAUGCGGAAGGGGAGGCGGGUGGGCGGGUGGGCGUGGGCGGGUGGGCGGGUGGGGUGACAGGGCCGGGCACUAAGGAGGGCAUGUGAUGGGGUGAGCACUGAGUGUUAUACUAUAUGUUGGCAAAUUGAAUUUAAAAAAAUUAUAAGAGAAAAUACAGUACUACACUGUAUUGAAAAAAACGUGCAUAUAAGUGGACCCACACUAUUUAACCACAUUCAAGGGCCAAUUGGUGUUUUCAUUUUUUCGAUUAUAUUUUUAAACUUGUGUCCUUCAAAAUAAACUUGUGUUCUUCAGUAAACGGAAAGCUGGCGUCCAUUUCCUCCAAUACCAUAUUAUGUCCGGGAACCCGCUAAAUAAUAGGUGCUUGCUCAGCACAUGUUUGUUGGAUUUAAUUGAUUGCUAUCUCGUACAAUCUGAUUGUGACCAAAUGGCUUUUCUACCAUGUGCUGCUGAUACUACGGGCUAGAACACUGGGCGGGAGGUGAGAAGAGCUAAAACUGAAAGACCAAGUCAGGGCCGAUUCUUUGUGCUAUGCCAAGUAACUUGGACGUUUUUUAAUCCUAAAGAUCCUAGGGAUCCAUUGAUCUAAUUUGUGUUUAGGUCAAGAUGUGUCCCAGGCUCCUGGCUUGAGCAAUCAGAUGGAUGGCGGAGUAGGGAAAGGAAAAGGCGCCCCUUUGUGAGGGCAAGUAAGACUAGAAGCUAGUUAGAGGGCAGAAGAGAGCCAGGGAGUUCCCGCCUUCAGCAUGUGCAGCUCAGAUCUGUGUGACAGAAAUAACUAGCCGGUAAGGAUACAGAAUUUAGGAGGGAGAUCCAGGCUGAAAUUAGGCCUCUGAGUCUUCAGCAUUUAGGUGACAGUUGGAAAUCCGUGGAAUGGAAAUCGCCCAGAGAGAUGCUAGAGGGAGAAAAACUCCUAGGUUCACCAGUGUUUUCAGGUGCAGAGGCAGAGAGGCUUGCAAAGGAGAAUGAGAAGGAGCUACCU